rnacentral:rRNA from 1 species
UACGUAGGUGGCAAGCGUUGUCCGGAUUUACUGGGCGUAAAGAGCGCGCAGGCGGUCGGAUAAGUCGAAUGUGAAAGCCCCCGGCUCAACUGGGGAGGGUCAUUCGAUACUGUUCGACUCGAAGGCAGGAGAGGGAAGUGGAAUUCCCGGUGUAGUGGUGAAAUGCGUAGAUAUCGGGAGGAACACCAGUGGCGAAGGCGACUUCCUGGCCUGUUCUUGACGCUGAGGCGCGAAAGCCAGGGGAGCGAACGGG